UUCGUGAUGCUCUUUCUCGACGGGGCCCCAGUGACAGAACAAUUCAGAAGCACAGGACAUAAAUGACCGAGGUGAACACCACAUUAAGCUGUACAUUUUAACAAAACAGCCAACCGAGCCAAAAUGCCAGGAACAAAAGGUAAUAAGUCAGACAAGAAGUCUAUCACCAAGCAACCUGAGAGUCCCAAAGAGCAGCCAAAGAAAGGUGAUCAGAAAGGAGAUGACAAGAAGCAAGGAGGACAGCCGAAGGGAGAGAAGCAGUAAUUUCCAGGCUUUUGUGAAGAUGGCUCUGGAGACACUGUUGGGGUCGUGCCACCGGAAGCACGGGGGAGCUCGG